UGCGCCUUGCCAGCCCGCUCAGAAACUUAAGGAAUUGACGGGGGCCCGCACAAGCGGAGGAACAUGUGGUUUAAUUCGAUGAUACGCGAGGAACCUUACCUGGGCUAGAACGCAUUCGGAAUCAGGCCGAAAGGCCUGCGCCAGCGAUGGCCGCUUGCGAGGUGCUGCAUGGUUGUCGUCAGCUCGUGCCGUGAGGUGUCGGGUUAAGUCCCAUAACGAGCGCAACCCCUACUGCUAGUUGCCAGCGGGUCAUGCCGGGGACUCUAGCGGAACUGCCAGCGUAAGCUGCGAGGAAGGUGGGGAUGACGUCAAAUCAGCACGGCCCUUACGUCCAGGGCUACACACGUGUUACAAUGGCCGGUACAGAGGGCAGCCACCCCGCGAGGGGGCGCGAAUCCCGAAAGCCGGUCCCAGUUCGGAUCGGAGUCUGCAACCCGACUCCGUGAAGCUGGAUUCGCUAGUAAUCGCGCAUCAGCCACGGCGCGGUGAAUACGUUCCCGGGCCUU
rnacentral:rRNA from 1 species